CUCCUCCGUGGCAGGCGGGCUAUCCGGCGGUACAGCCGCCGAAAAAAGGGCGUGGCGGACGGCUCGCGGCCGUCGGAGGCGG
rnacentral:tRNA from 1 species